UGCAUAGGAAUCUGCCCAGUAGCGGGGGAUAACUCGGAGAAAUCCGAGCUAAUACCGCAUAAGCCCUACGGGGGAAAGCGGGGGACUCUUCGGAGCCUCGCACUAUUGGAUGAGCCUAUGUCAGAUUAGCUUGUUGGUGAGGUAACGGCUCACCAAGGCAACGAUCUGUAGCUGGUCUGAGAGGAUGAUCAGCCACACUGGGACUGAGACACGGCCCAGACUCCUACGGGAGGCAGCAGUGGGGAAUAUUGGACAAUGGGCGCAAGCCUGAUCCAGCAAUGCCGCGUGCGUGAAGAAGGC
rnacentral:rRNA from 1 species